CGCCUCUUGCAUAUAUAAGAAUAAGAGGUCCCGCCUGCCCUGUGACCGCAAGUUUAACGGCCGCGGUAUUUUGACCGUGCAAAGGUAGCGCAAUCACUUGUCUUUUAAAUAAAGACCCGUAUGAAUGGCAUAACGAGGGCUAAACUGUCUCCUUACCCAGGUUAAUGAAAUUGAUCUUUCCGUGCAGAAGCGGGAAUUACACCAUAAGACGAGAAGACCCUGUGGAGCUUUAGAUGAAUAAAUGAAUUUAUUUAACAUAAGCCCCCCUAAAAGGCAACAAGCCAGUAACCUCAUUUUAAUAUCUUUAGUUGGGGCGACCGCGGAGUAAAACAAAACCUCCGUGAGGAUUGAGGUAAAACCUUAUACCUAAGAAAGUCAUUUCUAAGCACCAAAAUAUUUGACCUAAAGAUCCGGCAAUAGCCGAUCAACGAACCUAGUUACCCCAGGGAUAACAGCGCAAUCCUCUUUGAGAGUCCCUAUCGACAAGGGGGUUUACGACCUCGAUGUUGGAUCAGGACAUCCUAAUGGUGUAGCCGCUAUUAAGGGUUCGUUUGUUCAACGAUUAAAGUCCU
rnacentral:rRNA from 1 species